rnacentral:rRNA from 1 species
UACGUAGGUGGCAAGCGUUGUCCGGAUUUACUGGGCGUAAAGAGCGCGCAGGCGGUCGUACAAGUCGCGUGUGAAAGCCCCCGGCUCAACUGGGGAGGGUCACGCGAUACUGUUCGACUCGAAGGCAGGAGAGGGAAGCAGAAUUCCCGGUGUAGUGGUGAAAUGCGUAGAUAUCGGGAGGAAUACCAGUGGCGAAGGCGGCUUCCUGGACCGGUAUUGACGCUGAGACGCGAAAGCGUGGGGAGCAAACAGG